rnacentral:rRNA from 1 species
AUUGAACGCUGGCGGCAUGCCUUACACAUGCAAGUCGAACGGUAACAGGUCUUCGGAUGCUGACGAGUGGCGAACGGGUGAGUAAUACAUCGGAACGUGCCCAGACGUGGGGGAUAACGAGGCGAAAGCUUUGCUAAUACCGCAUACGAUCUAAGGAUGAAAGCAGGGGACCGCAAGGCCUUGCGCGUUUGGAGCGGCCGAUGGCAGAUUAGGUAGUUGGUGGGAUAAAAGCUUACCAAGCCGACGACCGGUAGCUGGUCUGAGAGGACGACCAGCCACACUGGGACUAAGACACGGCCCAGACUCCGACGGGAGGCAGCAGUGGGGAAUUUUGGACAAUGGGCGAAAGCCUGAUCCAGCAAUGCCGCGUGAAGGAUGAAGGCCUUCGGGUUGGAAACUGCUUUUGUACGGAACGAAAAGGCUCUGGCUAAUACCUGGGGCACAUGACGGUACCGUAAGAAUAAGCACCGGCUAACUACGUGCCAGCCGCCGCGGUAACAC